AAUUGUCUAGAAGAUUGGACUGUUUACUUUUAAAACCGACUAAGUAACGAUACGGGAGUUCGGAUCAUUAACUGGUGUUGAAUGCUAAGAUUUAUCUUAGAAUCCUAAAGGUUAAGUAUGGACACCCACCUGCUGGUAUAGGGCGGGUUUUAUCGUUAGACAUCCACCUUUUGGACAGAAU
rnacentral:other from 1 species